GUUUGAAUCAGAUCCAAAAUCUGGGGGUAUUCUAAAGCACAUGGCGUCAGGCUGCAGUUCAUGACCCGUGGCAGACUAACCUAAGUCCUGUUACACAAGUGGGUGGCCUUGUGACUAAUCAUGAAAUGAGCACUGGGUUUGUUCCUGGAAAAUUAGGAUUCAAUCCAGGAAGAACACGGUAAGCUGACCACGCCUCCUUCACUUUUGUUGAAGAUUUGGCUGUGUAUUGUCCCUGGAAAAUGUUUUAUUUUAGAAAACCCACCUGAAGAAAGAUGUGUGGAAAGAGAUCUGAGAAA